UAAAUAGUAUAUAGUAGUAGUAUGUAUGUAUGUAUGUUUGAUAUUUACAAUUUAUUUUUAUUACUAUUUUAGUAAUGUAUAUAAAGAGACUAUUAAGGAGGCCUAGCUAUAUAUUAAAGAGAUUAAUUUGUGUUUUUAAUUUUACACAUGCACUCUUAGAGAAAUUCAAUAAUAAACGAAGUGAAUUGAAAUAUCUUAGUAACUUUAGGAAAAGAAAUCAAACGAGAUUCUAUGAUUAGUGUGAAUGAAAAUAGAAAAGCCAAGAAAAAAAUAAGUAAAACGGGCAUAACCAGUUUGAAAACGUAAAAAGAGUGUGCUCUAGCGACAGAGACAAGGUCUAAGCACUCGUAAUUUUACAAAGGGGAACCUUCCUCUAAGGCUAAAUAUAAUAUAUAAGCGAUAGCGUAUAGUACUGUGAAGGAAAGGUUUGAAUUAGUAGUCUUAUAAGCAGCUUUAGCUUUAUUUAAUUAAAAAGUGAUAGCGUACCUUUUGCAUAAUGGGUCAGUAAGUUAAUAUUAGAUGCGAGCAUUCGUGCCCAGAUAAACCAAUUAUGAAUUAAUGAUUUAGUAUCUAAAAUUAGACCCGAAGCCUAGUGAUCUUACCACAGUCAGGAUCACAAAAGUCUGAACGGGUUGUCGUUGCAAAGACAUCCGAUGAACUAUGGUAAGUAAGUGAAAGACAACACUGACUAGGAAAUAGCUGGUUUUCUGCGAAACCUAUAAAAGUAGGUAAUUUAAGUAACAUCAUAGCAGGUACAGAACUGUGUUCUCAGGCAACUUAGAAAUAUUUUGCAUAUAUCGGGCAAUCGUGAAGAUUUUAUCGGUGAGUAAUCGCACUCGGAAUGGUUAUGAUGAAUAUUAAAUAAUCGGACAUAGUACGCUAAGGUUGUAUUGUCUAAAGGGAAACAGCCCAGAACAAGAGUUUAAGGUUCCAAAUUUAUUGUUAAGUGAAAUUAAGGAUGUUUCUGUAAAAAACGGCCAGGAAAUUGGCUUAGAAGCGGCCAUUUUUUGAAGAUCUCGUAAAAGAGCACUGGUUUAGUAUAUUUUAUACGUGAAUAGUAGCACCGAAGAUUUAACGGAUCUAAACAAUAUACCGACACCUUGUCCAUAAAAAGGAUGAGCUUGUAGACAGCUCGUAUUUUUAUGGGGUAGCAGAACGUUGGGUAAAUAACACGGUUUAUUGUUUUUAACAAUAAAUAUAAGAUAACCCAAGUGAUAAUGCUGACAUGAGUAACGAAAAAGGGGUUAUACCCUCGCCUAAAGCUUAUGGUAUUUUAAAAUAAGUAACGGCCUCUAAGUUUACCAACCUAAAGGAUUAAACGAUGAGAAAAUCUUUUAGUUACUUAGUAACAACCUUCCUUCUUAUGUAACCAAGUCACCUUGCGAGGGGUUUGCUUGGAAAUAUUAUUGCCAAGUACCGGCGCAAGGCGGCCAUAAGAAAAGUUGAGGGAGGUUCUGGAAAAACAGUGACAAACCAGCUUCCGGCAAGUACGGAAGAAAGGGGGGAAAACAAAACCGUACCUAAAUACCACCUCAGGUAAGCUAGUAGAGAAUACGAAGGCGUUUGAGUGAACAAUCAUUAAGGAACUCGGCAAACUAACUACCGUAACUUCGGAAUAAGGAGUGCCAUUCCUCUUCAUUAAUAUGAGGUAAAGAAUAGGAAGCAUGGAAUAGUGUUGUACGACUGUUUAAUUAAAACAAAGCACUUCGCAAUAAGAUAAUAAAUCAAAGUAUUGAGUGUGAAUUCUGCCCGAUGUCGGCCGGUUAACGGAUUUACUAAGUUGACUAAUAUAAGCUUGGUUUUGAAGGAAACCCCGAUCAAUGGCGGUCUUACCUAUGAGGAUCCUAAGGUAGCGGAAUACCUUGGCCGUUAAAUGCGGUCUUGCAUGAAUGAUUUAACGAUACAACAGCUGUCUCAAUGAUUGGCUCAGUGAAAUUGGAAUGACAGUGCAGAUACUGUUUAUCUCUAGAUAGACGAGAAGACCCUAUGCAGCUUUACUGUUACUAGUUAUUAGAUAUGAUAAACAGCAUUUUUAGUGCAUAAGGUAGGUGCGCGGAGGUUUCAUUGGAUUCUUCUGUCACCCAAAUUGAAACACCUUUAUUUAGUUUUUCAUAUUGGUAAAUAUAUUUUACGUGAAAAAUCCAAUAUGGGUCUUUCAUUUCCAGAGGAACGAUGACUAGGAGGCAGUUUAUGCGGGGCACAGAUCCCAUAAAAAGUACCUGGGUGUAUCCAAAGUUAAUUUUGUAAAUUUGUUAUAAUUUAUAACAACCAAAACUAGUUUUGGUUUUUAGUUUGUUAUUAGAGAUAAAAGGCUUGGCCUUCUAUUUCCAAUCCACCUAUAUAUCUAUUGAGUUAGAACUAAAAAUUUUAAUCAAGUAAGAUUUUAUCUAUAUUGAAAAUAGAUGUAAACUAUGUUAUUAAGAUCUUUAAUAUCAUUGUUAUAUUAAAAGCCAACCGGGAACCGGGAACCAGGAUGGCUUUCUUGCUUGCCACAACCAUCGUCGCCCUUCCCCGGGGGGGGUAAUCGGAGGGAUAAGAACCAAGGCAGUUGGUGCAUUCCCAUACCGUUUCGGGGGGGGGUGGAGGAAGGGUUGUAGGGCAAGGAGGCGAAGCCAGCGCUGAAGCGGAAGAUAAUAAUAUAAUAUUUACUUGUCAAGUUUAAUGGCUUAAUCUUGCUUUACUGUUUGAUUUACACGUCUAUCAGUCGCGUAAGCGGGGCAUAUGAUCACAAGAUGCAGAAAGGAAAGGUCUUGGGUUUUUGAAAAAGCUACGCUAGGGAUAACGGGGUUUUGUCCCUACCUAAUUAUAAUACUAAGACCCCAUCUU
rnacentral:rRNA from 1 species